GGUCGGCUCAUCGUGUCCUCUUGCUGCAGAAGGUAAGAAGGGUUCGACUGUUCGUCGAUUAAAACGGUACGUGAGCUGGGUUCAGUGCGUGGUGACACAGCACGGCUCUUCUCUGUGGCAGUUUUUUAGACAGUUACAUAUACUUUUUAGUACGAAAGGACCUGAAAGUACACACCUCUGGUAUAUCAGUUGUAUUUUUAAAAAUGCAUUGCUGAGCAGCUAAGUGUGCAAACAGUAUGGCUGAAAGCAUCUUAAGCCAGAAAGUUGUGUAAAACCAUGUCUCUUUUUUGGUUGUAGACUACAACCUUUAUCGGUACAUUGUAAACAAACGAAAGUUUAUAGGAUUUUCCUCAC
rnacentral:rRNA from 1 species